rnacentral:tRNA from 1 species
UGCCCGAUGGUGUAAUGGUAACACACCGCCCUUUGGAGGCGAGGUUCUUGGUUCGAAUCCAGGUCGGGCA